UAGCACAGAAAAAGCAGCCAGUGUAACAGCCAUUGUUGUUUCUCUAGUAAUUAUUAUUUUCAAUAUUUGCAUGUUUUCAAUUCUAAAAUUUCCCUAAGAAAAAGCUACACAGCCAGCUAUUGGUAGACUGUGCUUAGUCGUUCAGUCAUGUCUGACUCUUAUGACCCUAUGGACUGUAGUUCACCAGGUUCCUCUGUCUGUGAGAUUCUCCAGGCAAGAAUACUGAAGUGGGUUGCCAUUUCCUCCUU
rnacentral:misc_RNA from 1 species